UAUAGAUAUACCUAGAUAACGCGAAUGCACCUACUUCGCGUGUCCCGGUCCCGAUAAAUCAUCGGAAGGAGCUGCCGCUGCUUACAGUCCACGCGCGUCUGUUGUUGCAUGCGGACCGGCCGCGAAAACUAGAAAAAUGCCUCAAUGUGUGAUAAUAAAUUGCAAUAAGCCAAAAACUUCGAGCUCCCAAAGGCAAGGACAUAUUUCCUAUCACGGGAGGUAAACGAGCAGACGGAUCACCUGAUGGUAAGUGAUUACCGUCGCCCAUAGACACCCGCAAACCCAGGGGCGUUACAGUUUCCCACAAGAUGCAAUAUUAAAAGAAAAAUGGAUCGCGGCUACGGGACGGAAAGACUGGUUUCCGACAAAACAUAGUACCAUUUGUUCAAUUCAUUUUGAAAGUACCUGUUUUGAACCUUCAAAAAAGAAGAGAUUGUUAAAAAAAACGGCAUGCCCCACUAUACAUAUUAUGUA